rnacentral:rRNA from 1 species
CCUACGGGUGGCAGCAGUGAGGAAUAUUGGUCAAUGGACGAAAGUCUGAACCAGCCAAGUAGCGUGAAGGAUGACUGCCCUAUGGGUUGUAAACUUCUUUUAUAUGGGAAUAAACUGUUCCACGUGUGGGAUUUUGUAUGUACCAUAUGAAUAAGGAUCGGCUAACUCCGUGCCAGCAGCCGCGGUAAUACGGAGGAUCCGAGCGUUAUCCGGAUUUAUUGGGUUUAAAGGGGGCGUAGGUGGAUUGUUAAGUCAGUUGUGAAAGUUUGCGGCUCAACCGUGAAAUUGCAGUUGAAACUGGUAGUCUUGAGUACAGUAGCGGUGGGCGGAAUUCGUGGUGUAGCGGUGAAAUGCUUAGAUAUCACGCAGAACUCCGAUUGCGAAGGCAGUUCACCGGACUGCAACUGACACUGAGGCUCGAAAGUGUGGGUAUCAAACAGGAUUAGAUACCCGAGUAGUC